CGGGGUGUGGCUCAACUUGGAUAGAGCACCUGCUUUGGGAGCAGGGGGUUGCUGGUUCAAAUCCAGUCACCCCGA
rnacentral:tRNA from 2 species